GCAAGUGCAGGAGGCAGGGAAGGGAGAAGGGGAGAGAAGGUCACUCCUUCCUGCUGAUUCAGGUCAACCCGUGUGUCAAGUUCUACCCUUGUUUCCUCUGCCAGAUACUCUUGCACCACGUGGACACACAGCUCAUGCCCUCGUCUCCUUUAGGCCUCUCCUCCAACGUCAGUUCUCCAAUGUCCUGGACUGCAGUUCCCAGGAACUACAUUCUCCCAGACCCCAUCUUGAUCCCUACUUUCCUCCAUGCUUUCUUGUUCCCUUCCACCACCACUGGUCUUUCUCCAUGCUCAAUUUAUCUACUUUCUCUCUCUGAAAUGUGAGCUCCAUGUGGGCAGCUGUCUUUGAUUUGUUCUCUGCUGUGUCCACAGCACCUAGUAGGUGCUCACUAAUCAUCUGUGGCACGAAUUCUCCAAAACCACCUUACCAAAUUUGUUUCUCCCUAUGCACUUCAUGUGGUCCAGGUGUGGUCAUGUGACCUAAGCAGGACCAAUCCAGGAUUGAUUUCAGUGGAGCUGCUGAGAAGAUUGCUUUUCCCACCCACUCUCCCAGCAUCCAGAGCUCCCGUGACUCGUGAACUGCAUUCCAUAUGUUGAUAUGGAGAAGGAAAUGGCAGCCCACUCCACUAUUCUUGCCUGGAGAACCCCCAGGGACAGAGGAGCCUGGGGGGCUACAGUCCAUGGGGUCGCAAAGAGACAGGACUUAUUGACUAAGCAACAAAAAUGCAUUCCAGGCAUUUUACAGGUGCUGUGAGUGUCAGGUGAUGUGUUAGGUUCCUAGGGCAAGUUAUUACAAACUGAUUGGCUUAAUGCAACAGAAAUCUAUCAUUUCCUUAUUAUUAUCAUAAUCUAUUAAACCUAUGACUUCUGCAGGUUGUUAGUCCAAACUUGGCAGGGACACAGCCCUCCCAGGUGCUCCAGAGGAAAAUCCAUUCCUUGCCUCCUCCAGCUUCUGGUGGCUCCGUAUUCCUUGGCAUGUGGCCGCAUCACUCUAAUCUCUGCCUCUGUCUUCCUGUGUUCUUCCCUGCGUGUCUGUCUCUGCUUCUCUCAUAAAAGGAUGCUUGUAAUUGCAUUUAGUGCCCAUCUGAAUAAUCCAGGGUAAAUUCCACCUCAAGACCCUUAACUUAACCGCAGCUUUUCCAUAUAAGGAAACCUGUGAAGGCUCUGGGAGAGAAGUGGGCAUACCUUUUCUCGCUUUAGGAGUCACCAUUCAGCUCUCUAUAUUAUUUGCUUAAAGACCAGAAAAGCAAAGGUUUCCCACCACCACUUCAUUGGCCUGACAGAUAUGUGAUGAAAAGAGUAUGAUCAUCAUAUUACCUUGCUCCCGUCAAGUGUGGAAAUGAUUUUUUAAAUGCCAUUUUCUGUGUUUUUAAUUAUCCCAGUUUUCAAAAAUAAUACCCUGCAUAUGGUAAGAAAACCAGUACGGAAACAUGGGAGAUACAGGAGCCCCUUUGCAAUUUUCCUCUUAACUCCAGUUUCACUUUUUAAAUGUAAUCACCAUAUGCAGCCUGCAUAAUCUUCAUAAAUUUUCUAAGCAUAUUCGAGAGCACACACUUUUUUGGCUUCUAACGUUAAGAACAGUGGCGGGGGGCUGGGAUGGUUUAUGUCCGAAGGCAUGACAGCCCUCUGACCUGCCAGAAGCUUUCUAAUGACUUCUAGCAACGCACCACACUUAAGCUGUCCCCUACUGUCAGCACUUCGGUUAACUGCAGGAUUUUAAUGUUACAGAUACUCUCUGGUAUCUGUCCAGCUAUACUCCAUCGGAUACACUCCUAGACAUGGGAUUUCCAGGCCAAUGUGUACAUUUUAAAUUUCUACAGCUAUUGCCCAGUGCCAUUCACCAAGGUGGUGAAAUUCACACGCCCAUCGAGAAUGCACAGGUGAGGGUGUCUCUUGCCAACACCCUCGCCCAUCCUGUCAAGACAGCAGCAUGUCAGAUCUCAAACUCAGGUAAGUGGACUUUCCAUGUGGGCCUGAUGGGGUGGACACCGCCCGAGAGGUUGUCCCUGUAGCUGUCUGAGGCACUGAGCUGCUCAGAGCUCUCGUUUAGGUUUUAUAAACAAAGACAGAGUCUGGGUAGGUGAGCCAGAACCAUGCAGUGAGACGCAUUGUGCAACUCAGUAUUUAUUUCUUUAGCACAGCUAGGACUUAAAUAUGGUCAAAACAUAUUCUCCUUUUAAUUUACACAAACAAAUAUGUUCCCGGGCUGACACCUCCUGUGCCAAGUUUCUAGGGGAAACGAAAUUCUACUGUGAGAAGAGAAACCACCAGAGAGAAAAGGGUGGAAAAGCCAUCACUGUCUGCUUCGCACGUCCGAGCUGGGCUUCUCGGAGGGGUGUUUCAGAACUGGGCUGCUGCCUCUUGGUCUCUUUCUGUCUUUGUUGCAGAUAAACCUGCCAGUAAUUUCAGCAAAUGAAACGUGGAACAUGUAAAGGCCAAAUGAUGGAAAACACUCCGGUUUUAAUAAAAGGUCUGCUCGGCUGAGACUCCUCUGUCCUGCUAGUCAGGAGAUGCAAAGAUUUAUCCAGAGAGGGGCUGAUGAAUUGAAGAAACAGAAAUGAGGCCAAUACCGGGGAUUGAACCCAGGCCACGGCAGCAAAAGCCUGGAAUCCCAACCACUAAGCCACCCGAGAACUCCCUGGGACCAGCUUCUUAAUUUGAAAACUGUCAAUAAAGAGGAAAGAGUCAAGCAUAGAAGAAAAAGAGAGGAGAGGAGAAUCUUUGGGUGCAGAUCAAGAAAGAGGAUAUCCACACUUUGCAACUUGAGAGUAUCCAGCUAUGCCAAACCCAUAGAAUAUUUUUACGUAACUCAGUGCUCAUAUUGCCAUGAAGUAAGUACUAUUCUUCCAACUAUUUUAUGGAGGAAGUGAGAUACUCGCCCAGGGCUCCACUGUGGGUACAUGGCCCUGCCUUCUUCGCUCAGCCCUCUGCAUUGAUUCGGCUCUGAAAUGCAGCAGCAGAGCCAGGAAACCAGAACUUCCAGGAGAUGAAAAGCUCACCAGGUCAAACUCUAUUUUGCAGUUAAGGAAACAAUGGCCCAGAGAGACCAAGUAACUUAUUCCAAGCCACACAGCAAACUGGCUGCUUAACCUGUGUCCAAGCUGCUUGGGGAAGUCCCACAUGCUAAGGGAGGCUGCUUCCUGCCUCAUUUCAGCCUGUCCCAGGGUGGGGUGACCAGCCAUCUUGGGGUUUCCCGGGACUGGGAACUUUAGGUGCUUAAAUCAAGAAAGUCCUGAGCCAACUGGGAUGAGUCAGUCACUCUGUCUCAGAGCGAGGCAUCUAAAGGGUUGUUUUCUAGGAUGUGAGAACCAGUGCCAAGUGCCCACAGAAGUACUGGGGUUUCAUGCCUUAUAUAAUUAAAAUUGAUUAUUAAUAUCUAGGCUCCCUCACCCCAGCCAGACUCCCCACCCACAGGAGGCGGGGACUAGUACGUAAUGUACACUUCUGUUUUACAGCCCCUGAUUCAACGGUGACACAUGAAUGAUGCUUAGUAAACAGUCAUCAAAUGGACCAACCAACCAGGCUAUCACCACUUCUGACUGUGCCUCCAUUUGAAAUUGCAGAAACCCUCUAUAGCCAACGUGACCUCCAGUUCUCAUUUCAGACAGGCUGACAUCCACGAUGUCACAUGGUAGAAGGUGACUCCAGAGAGGCUGACUACAAGGCUUCUGGAGGGAGCUAUGGCAGACAAGAGCGGGUGUGGUUUUUCUUUAAUUAUUGUACCUGUUUUGUCUGUUCUUUCUUGGCUCUGUUCACAUCCCCACCCCAGCACCAGUGCAGGAAAAAAAAAAAAAAGAAAAAAAACAGAACAAAAACAAAACAUCGCAGAGUUUGAGACAAGAUAGCUGGCCCAUUCCCUCUCUGCUUGUAAUUAAUGCUGAAAAUGACUUGCCUUGGCCACAAAGGUAAUAAUAAAGUCAGGAAGUCUGAUUAUUUGGCUACUAAUUUCCUUCUAGGUUCCCCCACCCCUUCUCCUUUCCUUAAAUUAAUUCCAGAGUUCCUCCAGAUUUCUCGUUGCUAAGCUAUAAAGUUCCAGGUUUCCCAGCGCCCAUGCUGAUUGGCAGGGAGGUUCCAGGCAGCUCCAAUCAGAGGCAGGUUGCUGAAAGGAGCAUCCACAUUGCAGCUUGCCCCGGGGUACUGGAAUUUUUUCCCUGAUGUUAUGAACCAUCAAAGUCUUUCUCUAACUGUGCAAAACCUGUUCUCUUGAUCUUGUCUGCAUCUCUCUUGGUGUGCAGGCUACUGGGGGCACACCAGAGUCCUGGAAUAUCCCCCUGGUCCUGGAGGAAUAGAGUCCCUGGGUUGCCAGGUUUGGGGUCAGUGAAGGAAAUGCCCAGGGCCUGUUCAUGGCUGACCAGAGAUGACAGCGUGGUGUCCUGCCACGGGCUGGGGGCUGCCUCAGACCCCGCCUGUCUGACCUCUCUCGUGCCAUCUCUUAAGUUUGGUGAAAGGCUCAAGGGGAUUGAGGGAGAGUAGAUGCCGCUGCAUGUAGGGUUGUUCAGGGGUAGAGGCUGCAUUUGUAAAGACAUUAAAACAUGUAGAUGGGGACUUCCCUGGUGGUCUGGUGGUUAAGAAUCUGCCUUGCAAUGCAGGGGGUGCAGGUUCGAUCUCUGGUCAGGGAACUAAGGUCUCACGUGCUGCGGGGCAACUAAGUCCGCGUGCCACAACUCCAGAGCCCAGGCACCACAGUGAAAGACCAGACGCAGCCAAAUAAAUAAAUAAAAACAUGUAGAUGGUAAGGGCACCUGGGAGGACCAUUCUGGUGUUUCACUUCCAGAACACUGAUAAUGAGCAGCCACUGUGAACUAAGUUCCUACUGUGUGCCAGAAACUUAUAUGUUUUAGAACCACUGUCUUGAGGAAUUGUUGACAUAUAAAAAGCUGUCUACAUUUAAUGUAUACAACCUGAGUUUGGAGAUAAGUAUACACCCGUGGGACAUAGAGAACAGAGUGGUGGUUGCCAAGGGGGAA